rnacentral:lncRNA from 10 species
AUUUUUUUUUAUUAAUAUUUGUAUGUUCUGACUUCAAAAUAAGGAUGGUUUUAGAAUGUGAUUGUAGAAAACAAAUCUAUUAUUUUAAAGAAAAAUUAUUUAAAUGAGGUUUAACAAUGGCAGUCAUUUGAGGUUUUCUUUUUCUUUUUUUUUUUGAGGUGCACAAACACAAACAAUUGUGCAACAGCAAAUGUUAGAAAGCCUCUUGCUUGUGAUGACUGACUUGGGUCUCUCAUAAUUUACCAGACUCCAGGUUUUUGCCUCCACAAAACAUGACUUUCAAUGCAAAGAAUGAAAGUUUCUCCUUAACUUGGGGAAAAUAUUAUUUGGGCUUGUAGCACAUCUCUCUAUGUAUAGAGAUUUUGUAUAAAUUUGUAUAAAUAUAAAUUUGUAAAUUUAUAUUCAUUCCUGAUGACAAGUUUUUCAGUGACACAUUGCUGAGGCACAGUGGCUCUGCCCAGCAAUUUGUAGGAGUGUUAGACAAUGUGGUGGCACAAACCAGGGAUUCUUAGCCCAACUUUAGUGCAAUUAACAGUGUCUUUGCCUCUUAAGGCCUAGUCUCAGAUGUUCCUCAAAGUCACUUCUGCACCAUAUUAUAUUAGUCUAACCAAGUCCUAAGAGGAGUACAGAUUCAAUGAGUAAACAAAAAGAUAUCAUUUCUUUCUUUUUGGUUUUUUUUGUUGUUAUUGUUGUUGAGAUGGAGUCUCGCUCGCUCUGUCACCCAGGCUGGAGUGCAGUGGCAGGAUCUCGGCUCACUGCAAACUCCACCUCCCAGGUUCAAGCAAUUCUCCUGCCUCAGCCUCCCGACUAGCUGGGAUUAUAGGCCUGUGCCACCGUGCCCAGCUAAUUUUUGUAUUUUUAGUAGAGACAGGGUUUCACCAUGUUGGCCAGGCUGAUCUCAAACUCCUCAGGUGAUCCACUUGCCAUGACCUCCCAGAGUGCUGGGGUUACAAGCGUGGGCCACUGCACCUGGCCAAUGGAAUUUCUUCAUGAGAGAACCUGCAAAGCACAGUGGGCAAUGUUCUCACCCUCUGUACCUAUAUGUGACUUCUUUUCACCUGUAAAAUAUUUUCACUGCCACCCCCAAAAGUCUAAUGGCUCCCAGGCUUCUGACUUGGUUAAUGGGGUGGUGUUUACUGCUUUGCAGAACAUGUUGCAUUGGAGAAGACUUUGUGGCAGCCAAGUGAAAGUUCGCUCUGUUGCUCUGGAUGUGGAUUUUAUCUCAGAGAGAGCUUUGAACUCGUGAUAUGUAUUUUUUGAAUCAUCAUUUUAUAUCACUGAAGGGGAUUCCAUAGAAUGAGUAGAUAAGAUAAUUUACAGUUGUUCCCUAAGGAGGAACAAGAUUAAGGAAAGCCAGAAAUACAGAGCAAAGAAGACCAGGAGGAGCAGUCAGCAAGCUGGGAGAAAUGUUUGAGAGGAGCAGUAUCAAAAAGUUGAGGAGAGACUGGUCCAGAGGUAGCAAGUUAUCUCAAUCUCAAUUGUUCACGGUCAGUUAUAGAUUAAACUCUUUGUUAUAUUCCCCCCCACCCCCAGCUCCUUCUCACUACUGCACUUGACUAGUUUUAGAACAAUACUUAAGGAAGAUGUCAGGCAUUUAAUAUGAAGAAGGAGAGAACACCAUCAAAUUCUUUGAAUAGAUCAAGAAACAUAAGAAAUAAAACACAUACAUACAACAUCUUGGAAUAUCUGAAAAAACAAGCAUCACUUUUCCUACAAAAUUACAUUACUAUUACCAAGGUAUGCAUAGUACAUUAAAAUAUAUUAGGUCAUAAAUUUACAUUAGUGGAUAAAUACUCUAUAGCACAUUAUUGAAGAGUAGAUUUGUGACCAAAGCUUAAAUAUCCCUCAUUGACUUCAUCGAGUGAAUUAAAAAAUUGCAAAAGAUAAAUUUUCUGUUUCAAGGCAACUUGGUACUAACAAAGGAUGAGAGAUAGAAAACAUAAUGCAAGAUAAUACUGAGAUUUUAGUCAAAUAAAAUAGAGAAACUCAAAUUAACUUGUUAACAACUCCCUUCUUGACUUAGGUAUUACACCCCCAAUGCAUGUGCACACAUGCACACACACACACACACACCCCAGGCAUGGUGAAGAUCACUGAUGGGAUGGGCAAGGGGCAUGACCAGGGGAAGAACAAGGGUGAUUAGAUUAGUUAUCCAAGA